rnacentral:tRNA from 1 species
GCAAAGCUACGUAAAGGAAAUUCAAGUAAGUUUGCCCUAGACUACGAAUCUGGGGGUCAGGAGUUCGAAUCUCUUCGGGUGCGCCA